UCCAUGUAAGCCGUACGCGAGCCAUACACAACUGAGUCGAUCCUGUGUGAGCCGUAUGCGAGCCGUGAGUCUCAAGACCCGAGCCGAAGCCUUGCUAGCCGAGCCACCUUCAGUUUUAGCCGUCUGCAACAUAUUUAAGCCCUUGGUUAAGGUGUGGUUGAGGAAUUGAAUUGUGCAAAUUUCAAUUUAAGGUUGUAUUGAGAUCAACUUUAAAUCUUUGGGGUAAGUUUGAUUGAAUUGGUUGCCUAAUUAAACAGUAAA